GCAGGACAUGGAGGCUUGUCUUGUCUUAACACAAGUCUUUAUUGUGAGAGAGCUAACUUAGGAAACAAGGCAACACAAUGUGUACAACAAUUGACAACAGGUUACCGUCUGACAGCUGCUUAAAUAGCAGCCUGUCAGGUGGUGGAAACCAAUAGGAGAGCUGAGUUUUCCCGCUAAGAGCCUGCUUGCGUCUUAGCCAAUUAGAGCAGGGCAGCAACAGUGAUGAUUACGGGGGAGGUCGUAACACCAGGAGGACUUAACACCAAUUGGUUGGGGUCUAACUGUCACAGAGGGCGGAACACCCAGGACCAACCCUCUUUCUGCGAAUGGGCCGUGUCGAAGGGUCUGGGACGAAGAGGCCGGUGGCCUAUUCCCCAAGGCAAAUGACUGGAGGUGUGCCAGCUGAGGGGAUAAGUCUGGGGAGAAUCGCCCGAGGAGAAACGCCUGAGGAGAAUGAAAAGUCAGAGACUAAAAGUCCUAGACCCGCUGGAGAGAAGGAGUUUAUCAUCCUCCUCAGCAACCUCAUAUUACAAUGAAACCUCUAAAAAGAUGAGAAAGAGGUUUUCUCUUGAGGAUAAGGGAAAGAGAGUCUGUAGUGGAAGGACGUGUUCUAAAGCAGGAGUGCAGAUAUUUCCCCAGACUACAAGCUGAACUUGCCCAAAAAGUAAAUAGUUUAAACAGUUAAAA